rnacentral:lncRNA from 1 species
UUCACACAACUCACAGCUCACGACUCUCCAGCUCCGGUCGCCGUCCGCGCUCUGUCCGUCGCCGCCGCACCGCAGCAGCAGCAGCUCCUCAAGGCUCAAACCGUCGCUACCCUGCUGCAUCGCACCGCUGCUCUUCAGCCAUCGCGUCGCUGCCCUGCUGGCAGCCUCGCGCCAUCGCCGCCGCACCGCAGAAGCUCCUCAAGCCAGCGCCGUUCCCAAAGGUCGAAGGC